rnacentral:rRNA from 1 species
ACGAGAAUAUUCCGCAAUGGACGCAAGUCUGACGGAGCGACACUGCGUGAUGGAUGAAGUGCUUCGGUACGUAAACAUCUUUUAUCGGGGAAGAAAUUAUUGACGGUACCCGGUGAAUAAGGGGCUCCUAACUCUGUGCCAGCAGGAGCGGUAAUACAGAGGCCCCAAGCGUUACCCGGAAUCACUGGGCGUAAAGGGUGUCCAGGUGGCCAUAUUAGUUCUUCGUAAAAUCCGUAGGCUUAACCUACGGCGCGCGGGGAAAACGGUAUGGCUCGAGGGCGCGAGAGGUGCACGGAACUCAUGGUGGAGGGGUGAAAUCCGUUGAUAUCAUGGGGAACACCAAAGGCGAAGGCAGUGCACUGGCGCGUUCCUGACACUCACACACGAAAGCCAGGGGAGCGAACGGGAUUAGAUACCCGCGUAGUCC